UAGUGGCGAACGGGUGAGUAACACGUGGGCAAUCUGCCCUUCACUCUGGGACAAGCCCUGGAAACGGGGUCUAAUACCGGAUAUCACUCUCGCAGGCAUCUGUGAGGGUCGAAAGCUCCGGCGGUGAAGGAUGAGCCCGCGGCCUAUCAGCUUGUUGGUGAGGUAAUGGCUCACCAAGGCGACGACGGGUAGCCGGCCUGAGAGGGCGACCGGCCACACUGGGACUGAGACACGGCCCAGACUCCUACGGGAGGCAGCAGUGGGGAAUAUUGCACAAUGGGCGAAAGCCUGAUGCAGCGACGCCGCGUGAGGGAUGACGGCCUUCGGGUUGUAAACCUCUUUCAGCAGGGAAGAAGCGAAAGUGACGGUACCUGCAGAAGAAGCGCCGGCUAACUACGUGCCAGCAGCCGCGGUAAUACGUAGGGCGCAAGCGUUGUCCGGAAUUAUUGGGCGUAAAGAGCUCGUAGGCGGCUUGUCACGUCGGGUGUGAAAGCCCGGGGCUUAACCCCGAGUCUGCAUUCGAUACGGGCUAGCUAGAGUGUGGUAGGGGAGAUCGGAAUUCCU
rnacentral:rRNA from 1 species